rnacentral:rRNA from 1 species
ACGCUCGACACCUACGGAGGCAGCAGUCGGGAAUAUUGCGCAAUGGAGGAAACUCUGACGCAGUGACGCCGCGUAUAGGAAGAAGGUUUUCGGAUUGUAAACUAUUGUCGUUAGGGAAGAGAAAGGACAGUACCUAAGGAGGAAGCUCCGGCUAACUACGCGCCANCACGCCGAGUAUNGNGGCGGNGNGAGAG